AACGAACGCUGGCGGCAGGCUUAACACAUGCAAGUCGAACGGGCGCGAGCAAUCGCGUCAGUGGCAGACGGGUGAGUAACACGUGGGAACCUUCCUUAAGGUACGGGACAACUCAGGGAAACUUGAGCUAAUACCGUAUACGUCCGAGAGGAGAAAGAUUUAUCGCCUUUAGACGGGCCCGCGUCGGAUUAGCUAGUUGGUGGGAACGGCCGUACCAAGGACGACGAUCCGUAGCUGAUCUGAGAGGAUGAUCAGCCACACUGGGACUGAGAC
rnacentral:rRNA from 1 species